ACGAAGAGUCUGGACCCAAACAAGCCAAAUGCUUCAAAAAUGAUUAGCUGCAAAAUCCAGGAUCAAAUGAGUUGAUUUAACCAAACACACUGCAAAAACACAAAACUUUACCAACUACUCUUUAUGUAGCUUCUAGUGCAAAAUAUCUGAGCACACCUGAAAUAAGACAGGACUAACUUACAAGUAACUUUUCAGCAAAGAUAUAGCAGCUGGAUUCAAGUAAAUAAUUAGUUAAU